rnacentral:pre_miRNA from 1 species
GGGGAGCGCUGGAUCCUGGGCUAUGUCCCCCUGGCGCCUUGUGCUCCAGGGCCUGCGCUGCUGGACUUGCACCUCUGGACCACUCAGCUCACU